rnacentral:lncRNA from 1 species
GGGACCAAAAAAUGGUUUAAAGCUAUUAUAUUUGAUGUUUGAAUAAUUGCAGCUAAUAUGAGAAAUAUCAAAAUUUAUGGGUUAGAUUUUAGAGGAAAAGAAGAUGAGGAGAUUAAAUAGAAAAGGUUGAUACUUUGUAAAUAGUUUAUGUGAAUUGAGUUUCUGAAACAAAGAAUGAAAUGGCAUGAGUUAAGCAUGCAAGAGGUUAAGAAUUAGAAUAAAAGUGUUGCAAUCAAGAGAGUAGGAGAAGGGGUGUGCGGAGGGGAGAAGAAGCUAAGAGGGUGAAAGAGGGGAAGAGCGGCCAUAAGGAUGGAAGAAGAGGAGGACAGGCCAUCGAGGAUGGAGGAGGAGGAAGAGGAGAAGAAAAAGAUGGGAAGGGGAAGACAGGAGUAUGUAUGGACAUAUAUACUUGGACACACGUUGAAAAAAUCGUAAUGUCAUUGGAUGGGAAAUAUUGUAUUCAUGUAUUUCCUAAGUAUGAUAAUCAAACUUUGAAAAGAGAUGCCAAAAUCACAUUAUAAUAUAAGAACAAAAACAUAUUUAAUCUAUGUAUUUAUAAUAUAAGUUACUUAUUUUUUUUUUCUUUUAUGAAUG